rnacentral:tRNA from 1 species
GAAAUAUGUUGUACAAAUAAAAGCUGCUAACUUAUUAUUUUAACGGUUAAAUUCCGUUUAUAUUUCU